UACGGAGGGUGCAAGCGUUAUCCGGAUUCACUGGGUUUAAAGGGUGCGUAGGUGGGUUGAUAAGUCAGUGGUGAAAUCCCCGAGCUUAACUUGGGAACUGCCAUUGAUACUAUUGAUCUUGAAUACCGUGGAGGUCAGCGGAAUAUGUCAUGUAGCGGUGAAAUGCGUAGAUAUCUGGAGGAACACCGGUGGCGAAGGCGGCAUCCUGGACCGGUAUUGACGCUGAGGCGCGAAAGCCAGGGGAGCAAACGGG
rnacentral:rRNA from 1 species